rnacentral:rRNA from 1 species
CCUACGGGAGGCAGCAGUGGGGAAUAUUGCACAAUGGGGGAAACCCUGAUGCAGCAACGCCGCGUGAGUGAAGAAGUAUUUCGGUAUGUAAAGCUCUAUCAGCAGGGAAGAAGAAAGACGGUACCUGACUAAGAAGCCCCGGCUAACUACGUGCCAGCAGCCGCGGUAAUACGUAGGGGGCAAGCGUUAUCCGGAUUUACUGGGUGUAAAGGGAGCGUAGACGGCUGUGCAAGUCUGAAGUGAAAGCCCGGGGCUCAACCCCGGCGAGCCGUUGAAACUGGCUGUCUUGAGAUGUCGAGAGGUAU